rnacentral:rRNA from 1 species
AACGAACGUUAGCGGCGCGCCUAACACAUGCAAGUCGCGCGAGAAAGGGCUUCGGCCCCAGUAAAGCGGCGCACGGGUGAGUAACACGUAGGUCAUCUUCCCCUGAGUGGUGGAUAACUCUCCGAAAGGAGAGCUAAUACAGCAUAAGACCACGACCUCGCCGAGGUUGUGGCCAAAGCAGACCUCUUCAUGAAAGUUUGCGCUUAGGGAUGAGCCUGCGGCCCAUCAGCUAGUUGGUAGGGUAAUGGCCUACCAAGGCUAAGACGGGUAGCUGGUCUGAGAGGAUGAACAGCCACACUGGAACUGAGACACGGUCCAGACUCCUACGGGAGGCAGCAGUGGGAAUCUUGCGCAAUGGGCGAAAGCCUGACGCAGCGACGCCGCGUGAGCGAUGAAGGCCUU